UACGUAGGGACCAAGCGUUGUUCGGAUUUACUGGGCGUAAAGGGCGCGUAGGCGGCAAUUCAAGUCAGCUGUGAAAUCUCCGGGCUUAACUCGGAACGGUCAGCUGAUACUGCUUUGCUAGAGUGCAGAAGGGGCAAUCGGAAUUCUUGGUGUAGCGGUGAAAUGCGUAGAUAUCAAGAGGAACACCUGAGGUGAAGACGGGUUGCUGGGCUGACACUGACGCUGAGGCGCGAAAGCUAGGGUAGCAACGGG
rnacentral:rRNA from 1 species